GUGGAACUAGGAAUCCUAUGUAAUAAAGAGCUAAUAUGCAAAUGUCAUCAUGCCCUCAUGCCUUAAUGCCAUAACAGCUCAGACAUUCAACACUGCAGAGAGAGGAAUGGGGACCAGCCAGGCACAAAUGAGCUCACGAGAGAGGAAUGGGGACCAGC